rfam:Zootermopsis nevadensis contig36986, whole genome shotgun sequence.
GCCACGGUGGUCUAGCGGUUAGAACGCUGGCCUUGUAAUCCUGGGGUCUCGGGUUCGAUUUCCGGCAGUGCCC